UGGGCGACAGAGCGAGACUCCAUUUCAAGAAAUAUAUAUGUUAUUACUGGUAUUAUUACCCCAGCGUGGUGAGAACUGUGCCAGGGUAAGCUCAGAGGACUGGGAGCUGAGCAGAGACCCUAAGCUCAGCAUAGGAUGGUAGGAAAAGCUAUCAGGAGUCAGUGGUCUGACCAUCCUUGUCCCAAGUCCAGCUUCUCCCUCUGGCUGUGAAACCUGCAGGUCCCUUGACCUCUCUGAGCCUAAGUCACUUGGCCUGUAAAGUGAGGAUAAUGACACUCAGCUCACAGGAUAUUUAGAAGGGUUCAGCCCGAUGAUGCAUACACAACAUUUAGCGUACUUCCUGGCUCAAACUAAGUGGUAAUUAACGAUGGUUCUUAGUAAAGUGAGACCUGAAGGACAAGUUGUGGUUUAGCCAGGUUGGAGGGAGGUGGAGAGUGGGAGAGAGCAUUCCAGGUAGAGGACUGGGAGGUGAGAUGGGAGGCAGGAUAAGAACGUCAGGAUGUUUAAGUGCUGGGGUGGGUGACUGGGUGGGUUUGCGUUGGAGCUUGGAUGUCUCCAGAGGGCGCUGAGGAGCCAGGGGAGGGCUGUGAGCAGGGGAGGGCAGGUUCAGCUCCGGGUGAAGGACCCUGGCAGGGACUGGAAGAGACUGGGCAGAGGAGGGCAACGGGGCAGGGAGAGAGGACAGGGCCUGGGCGGUGAGAACUAAGAGGAGGAGAAAGGACAGAGAGGUUUAGGAGGUAGGAGGGGUGGGACUCAGAUCGACAGUGGGGAGGGGGGAGGGAGGAGACGGGAAUGUUUCCCAGCAUUUUCAAAGACGGUGAAGCCAUUCUGGAGGUAAGAGGAAGUUUGGGUUAGAGGAAAGGUUCUGAGUUUAGCAGGACACAGGCCAUGAGGGGGCCUCAGGGACGCAGAAGUGCAGCUCUGGUCUCAGGACAGAGGCCCUAGGAGGAGGUAGCACGUGGAGACUUGGUUCUGAGGGCAACAGAGAGCCAUGGGAGGGCCUGGAGCAGAGGAGGAGUAGGAUUAGAUGUGGGUAUCUGAGGCUGCAGGCAAGACAGAGUGGAAGGGGCCAGGAGGCUGGGGACGAGGAAGCCUGCUCUGAGGCUGUGGCCCUCAGAGGUGGGGCUCUGAGAAAGGUCGCCUUGCCCUCCUCCAGGAAGUCUUCCUGGCUUUGUUCCACAAAUUUGCUACCACAUUUUUAGCUGGGAAUUUUUACUUCAUUUUCCACCUGGGGGUGGGGAGUGCAGGGAUCAGGCUGAGCCUCCCUGCAGGUGGGACCGGCUAAUGAAGAGAGUUGGGUGGGGUGGGCAGCUCAGCCACCACAUCGGGGUUGGGGAUCCUGGCACCUCCCUCUGGGUCUGGCUCCCUUCCCCUCCCAGGAAGCUAAGCUACCAGUCCUGUUGGACUCGUCUCACUUGGGAGGGAGAGGUGAAGUCCUGGGUCUCGCUCCAGUGUCCUUUCAGUAAGGCCAGCACCAUGGACACCCCACAGGCUCUCCCACUCUUCCUUCUCCUGGCCUCCUUGGUAGGGGUCCUCGCCCUCAGAUCCUCUUCUGGACUUCAGCAAACCAACUUCUCCUCUUCCUUCCCUUCGGACUCAAAGAGCUCUUCUCAGGGGCUGGGUGCAAAAGUUCCCUCCAUCAAACCUCCCAGUUGGGAACUUCCACAUCAGUCCGUGGAUUCAAAAGGCUCUGCUGGAAUCUCUGAUUCCAGCUGGUUUCCUGAGGCCUUGAGUUCUAGCAACAUGUCUGGAUCCUUCUGGUCAAAUGUUUCUGCUGACGGCCAAGAUUUGAGCCUGGAUUCCCCCUUCUCUGAAACCCCUGGUUCUGAAGUAUUUCCUGGUAUUUCAGAUCCUCAAGUUCCUGCCAAAGACCCCAACCCUCCCUUCUCUGUUAAGACCCCACCUUCAAACAUUUCCAUUCAAGUCCCCAGUACCAAAGUGUCUGUUGAGGCCCCGGAUUCAAAAUUCUCCCCUGAUGACAUGGAUCUUAAACUCUCUGCCCAGAGUCCUGAAUCCAGUUUUUCUGCAGAGACCCACUCAGCUGCAAGCAUCCCCCAGCAGGUGGGGGGCCCACUCGCUGUGCUGGUGGGGACCACCAUCCAGCUUCCUCUGGUCCCAGUCCCCAGCCCUGGGCCCCCUGCUCCUCUGGUGGUCUGGCGCCGGGGCUCUAAGGUGCUGGCAGCUGGUGGCCUGGGGCCAGGGGCACCUCUGAUCAGCCUGGACCCUGCUCACCGAGACCGCCUGCGAUUUGACCAGGCCCGGGGGGUUCUGGAGCUCUCCUCUGCCCAGCUGGAUGAUGCAGGGGUCUACACGGCUGAGGUCAUCCGGGCAGGGGUCUCCCGGCAGACUCAGGAGUUCACGGUGGGUGUGUAUGAGCCCUUACCCCAGCUGUCGGUUCAGCCCAAGGCCCCAGAAACGGAAGAGGGGGCGGCCGAACUCCGGCUGCGCUGCCUGGGGUGGGGGCCCGGUCGUGGGGAGCUGAGCUGGAGCCAGGACGGACGAGCCCUUGAGGCGGCGGACCCGGAGGGAGCCGAGCCUCCCCGGAUCCGCUCAGAGGGAGACCAGCUGGUCAUCACGCGCCCUGUGCGCAGCGACCACGCCCGGUACACUUGCCGCGUCCGCAGCCCCUUCGGCCACCGGGAGGCUGCCGCCGACGUCAGCGUCUUCUACGGCCCGGACCCGCCGAUCAUCACGGUCUCCUCGGACCGCGACGCCGCACCUGCCCUCUUUGUCACUGCGGGCAGCAACGUGACCUUGCGCUGCGCCGCCGCCUCGCGGCCGCCCGCCGACAUAGCUUGGAGCCUGGCGGACCCGGCCGAGGCCGCGGUGCCCGCUGGGCCGCGCCUCCUGCUACCCGCGGUCGGGCCGGGCCACGCAGGCACCUACGCCUGCCUGGCUGCGAACCCGCGCACCAGCCGCCGCCGCCGCUCGCUGCUCAACCUCACUGUGGCAGACCUGCCCCCCGGGGCCCCGCACUGCUCGGUCGAAGGGGGUCCCGGGGACCGCAGCCUCCGCUUCCGCUGCUCGUGGCCCGGCGGGGUCCCUGCCGCCUCUUUGCAGUUCCAGGGUCUUCCUGAAGGCAUCCGCGCCGGGCCGGUGUCCUCCGUGCUGCUGGCGGCCGUCCCUGCCAACCCCCGGCUCAGCGGCGUCCCCAUCACCUGCCUCGCUCGCCACCUGGUGGCCACGCGUACCUGCACCGUCAUCCCGGAGGCCCCCCGAGAGGUGCUGCUGCAUCCGCUGGUGGCAGAGACACAGUCAGGGGAGGCAGAGGUGGCACUGGAGGCCUCUGGUUGUCCCCCACCCUCACGGGCAUCCUGGGCCCGAGAAGGGCGGCCCCUGGCUCCAGGAGGCGGGAGUCGCCUUCGGCUCAGUCAAGAUGGGCGGAAGCUCCUCAUUGGCAACUUCAGCCUGGACUGGGACCUGGGAAAUUACUCCGUGCUGUGCAGUGGGGCGCUGGGUGCUGGUGGUGACCAGAUCACCCUCAUUGGACCCUCCAUAUCCUCGUGGAGGCUUCAAAGAGCCCGAGAUGCAGCCGUGCUGACCUGGGAUGUGGAGCGAGGGGCCCUGAUCAGCAGUUUUGAGAUCCAGGCAUGGCCAGAUGGGCCUAAUCUGGGCAGGACUUCUACCUACAAGGACUGGGUCUCCCUGCUCAUCCUGGGGCCUCAGGAGCGGUCAGCCGUGGUGCCACUUCCAUCUCGGAACCCAGGGACCUGGACUUUUCGGAUUCUGCCCAUGCUGGGGGACCAGCCAGGGACUCCAUCACAAAGCCGGGUCUACCGAGCCGGGCCCACGUUGAGCCACGGGGCCAUCGCUGGCAUCGUUCUGGGCUCCCUACUGGGCCUGGCGCUGUUGGCCGCACUCCUCCUCCUUUGCAUCUGCUGCCUGUGCCGCUUUCGGGGAAAGACCCCUGAGAAAAAGCAGCACCCGUCUACCUUGGUCCCCGUGGUCACCCCCUCAGAAAAGAAGACGCACAGGGUGACCCCAGUGGAGAUUUCAUGGCCUCUGGACUUCAAAGUCCCACUGGAGGACCACAGCCCAAUUAGGGCCCACCAGGCCAUAGACCCCAGUCCAGUUGCCUCUGUAGGUGGAGGCCCAAAGACUGUUCGGGCAGCCACGCAGGUGUGAUCAGAGCCAGUGGCCUGCCCUGCACAGGGCAUUUUGGGCCAGAACUUCCUAUGUCACUCCAGCAGCAGGCAGGGCCUGCUGUGACUGAUGGUUGGACCCUGAAAGUGGGACUUUCUGUCUCCCUCUCAUGCUGCAGAAGAGGAGUCUUCCUGUAUUUGUGCAAAUGCCUCAGGAGCCGGGUCCUGACCGCUCUCUGCACCUCUCCCUCUGCCUCCUGCCUUGCUCUGGAACUUUCCAGCCCCGUCUCUCUUGCUGUGGAUCUGGCACUUCCAGCGUCAUGGGACUUCGCUUCACACCCUUGGCUCAUUUUCUCGCCUGGCCCCUGCACACACUGUUGCUUUUCUGGUCUUAGCCCUGUGCCCAGCCAAAGGCGUCAGUUCAGACGUCACAUCUGGAAAGCCCCCUCCCCCACCCCGGCCACCAGGCUCUCCUUGGAAAAUCAGCUCCCAAGGCGCAGGACAGCCUGCCUUGCUCUGUAGCCCUGGUGCCUAGGUCAAUGCUUGCACGGAGUAGGCACUCCAGGAAUGGGGCAGAACUAAUGAACGUGUUCUUCCCCCAAGCACCCCAUCAUCCCUGUAGCUCUCCUGCCCUAGAAGCGAUCAAGCAGGUGUGUCGCUGUCUGUGUGACCAGCCUCCUUCUGCUGUGCUGAAAUCCCCAAGGGCAAGGCUGCAUCUGUCUUCCUCGCCAUGUACCCCGGGGUUGGAGAACACCUGGUGAGUAUCUGUCCUCAUGCCUUGUCUCCCCGAGGCUCUCCACCCCUCCACCCAGCUGAGCCCCGGCCGAGGGCUCACCGUGGACGAUGAGGUAGACCUGAGUGGUGAACGGCUGGUGGCGGGUCUGGAAGGAGCAGGUGUAGAGGCCCUCAUCACCGAGUCCCACCUCGGUGAUAAGGAUGGAGAACUCCUCGGGGGUGUUGAUGAGCAGCCGCACCCGCGGGUCGCUGGUCCAGCGGUCGUUGCCAGCGUACAGGAUGUUGGAGCGGUUCAGCCAGGCCACGCGGGUCACAUGCUCAUCAAUGAAGCAGCUGCGGGGAGCAAGAGCGUGGGAAGGUUCUUCACUCACCCAGCCUGAGCCUUCUGCAGCCAAAGGGGUGGGAGGGAGAAGGAGGCCACCACAUCUCCAGGUCCCACCACGGCCCUGUGCGAUGGAUUCUGCUGUGCCCACCACACAGCCAGGAUGGGGACCCCGAAGCCGAGGGGGAGCCAGCUCAGAGUGUGUCGCUCCUGAGGGGAAUGUGGAGCCCAGGUCUUCCCAUCCCAGGCUGUCCCUGUAACCAGGAUCCCCACCCAGGAGGGUGAAGCUUCGAAGGGUCCUGCCAACCUCAGAACGGGGAAGUAUUUGUGGAAGGGGCAUGGAUGGUCCCCAGAGACCAGAUAAUAAAUCCCUGAGGAGCUCGGGCUGGAAGAUCAAAUGCCUGUCUCACCACUUCCUAGCUGAAUGACCCCCACUCCCGGCCAGUGUGAGCUUCCAUUUCUCCACUGUACAAGAGAUGAGUUUCCCCAUGUUGCCCAGA